UACAGAGGGUGCGAGCGUUAAUCGGAAUUACUGGGCGUAAAGCGUGCGUAGACGGUUACGUAAGUCGGAUGUGAAAGCCCCGGGCUCAACCUGGGAAUUGCAUUCGAGACUGCGUAGCUAGGAUGCGGAAGAGGGAAGCGGAAUUUCCGGUGUAGCGGUGAAAUGCGUAGAUAUCGGAAGGAACACCAGUGGCGAAGGCGGCAUCCUGGACCAACACUGACGCUGAGGCACGAAGGUCAGGGGAGCAAACGGG
rnacentral:rRNA from 1 species